UGGGGCGUCGUCAAGCGGUAAGACACUGGACUUUGGAUCCAGCAUCCGGAGGUUCGAAUCCUCCCGCCCCAGCCA
rnacentral:tRNA from 1 species